UACAGAGGUCCCAAGCGUUGUUCGGAUUCACUGGGCGUAAAGGGUGCGUAGGUGGUGGGGUAAGUUUGGAUGUGAAAGCUCCGAGCUUAACUCGGAAAUGGCAUUGAAUACUAUCCUGCUUGAGGUUUGGAGGGGGGACUGGAAUUCUCGGUGUAGCAGUGAAAUGCGUAGAUAUCGAGAGGAACACCAGUGGCGAAGGCGGCCAUCUGGACCGCAACUGACGCUGAGGCGCGAAAGCGUGGGGAGCAAACAGG
rnacentral:rRNA from 1 species